rnacentral:rRNA from 1 species
GGACCUUUGGGAGCUUGCUCCCAAAGGUUAGCGGCGGACGGGUGAGUAACACGUGGGCAACCUGCCUAUGAGACUGGGAUAACUCCGGGAAACCGGGGCUAAUACCGGAUAAUUCUUUUCUACACAUGUAGAAAAGCUGAAAGAUGGUUUCGGCUAUCACUCAUAGAUGGGCCCGCGGCGCAUUAGCUAGUUGGUGAGGUAACGGCUCACCAAGGCGACGAUGCGUAGCCGACCUGAGAGGGUAAUCGGCCACACUGGGACUGAGACACGGCCCAGACUCCUACGGGAGGCAGCAGUAGGGAAUCUUCCGCAAUGGACGAAAGUCUGACGGAGCAACGCCGCGUGAGUGAUGAAGGUUUUCGGAUCGUAAAACUCUGUUGUUAGGGAAGAACAAGUACCGGAGUAACUGCCGGUACCUUGACGGUACCUAACCAGAAAGCCACGGCUAACUACGUGCCAGCAGCCGCGGUAAUACGUAGGUGGCAAGCGUUGUCCGGAAUUAUUGGGCGUAAAGCGCGCGCAGGUGGUCUCUUAAGUCUGAUGUGAAAGCCCCCGGCUCAACCGGGGAGGGUCAUUGGAAACUGGGAGACUUGAGUGCAGGAGAGAAGAGUGGAAUUCCACGUGUAGCGGUGAAAUGCGUAGAGAUGUGGAGGAACACCAGUGGCGAAGG